GGCCAGGCCCCACGCAAUAGGACUUCGCCCAACUCCGUCAGGCCCGGAAGGGAGCAGCGGUUAGUGAACAAAUAUGUGCCGUGGGUUUACCUGGCUUUU
rnacentral:SRP_RNA from 1 species